rnacentral:tRNA from 1 species
GACCUCGUAGCUUGGCUAGCAGGGCGUAUGCUGUACAAAAGCGUAGGUGGUAUCCAUGCGUGGGUUCGAAUCUCACCGAGGUUA